GACGAACGCUGGCGGCGUGCUUAACACAUGCAAGUCGAACGGAAAGGCCCUGCUUUUGUGGGGUGCUCGAGUGGCGAACGGGUGAGUAACACGUGAGUAACCUGCCCUUGACUUUGGGAUAACUUCAGGAAACUGGGGCUAAUACCGGAUAGGAGCUCCUGCUGCAUGGUGGGGGCUGGAAAGCUUCGGCGGUUGGGGUUGGACCCGCGGCUUAUCAGCUUGUUGGUGGGGUAGUGGCUUACCAAGGCUUUGACGGGUAGCCGGCCUGGGAGGGUAACCGGCCACAUUGGGACUGAGAUACGGCCCAGCCUCCAACGGUGGGCAGCAGGGGGGAAUAUUGUCCAGUAGGCGGGAGCCUGUUACAGCAGCGCCGCGUGCGGGAUGACGGCCUUCGGGUUGUGAACCGCUUGCGCCUAUGACGAAGCGUGGGUGACGGUAAUGGGUGAAGAAGCACCGGCUAACUACGUG
rnacentral:rRNA from 1 species